AAGAGUCAGUACAUUCUCUCUCUCUCUCUCUCUCUCUCUCUGUGUGUGUGUGUGUGUGAGAGAGAGAGAGAGAGAGAGAGAGAGAAGACAAUAGAAGAGGAAG